CCCGCACAAGCGGUGGAGCAUGUGGUUUAACUCGACGCAACGCGAAGAACCUUACCAGGGCUUGACAUCCCCUGACCGCGUAUGAAAGUACGUUUUCACCCUCGGGUGACAGGGAGACAGGUGGUGCAUGGUUGUCGUCAGCUCGUGUCGUGAGAUGUUGGGUUAAGUCCCGCAACGAGCGCAACCCCUACGUUUAGUUGCUAACGCGUGAAGGCGAGCACUCUAGACGAACUGCCGUUGACAAAACGGAGGAAGGUGGGAUGACGUCAAAUCAUCAUGCCCCUUAUGUUCUGGGCUACACACGUGCUACAAUGGCCGGUACAGACGGACGCAAAGCCGCGAGGUGGAGCAAAUCCUAAAAAGCCGGUCUCAGUUCGGAUUGCAGGCUGCAAUUCGCCUGCAUGAAGUCGGAAUCGCUAGUAAUCGCAGGUCAGCAUACUGCGGUGAAUACGUUCCCGGGCCUU
rnacentral:rRNA from 1 species